rnacentral:sRNA from 1 species
GCUAGGCACAGUGGUGCAGGUCUGUAAUCCUAGCUACGUGGGAAGCUGAGGCAGGAGGAUCACAAGUUCAAUACCAGCCUCAGCAACUCAGUGAGAUCUUGCUUCAA